GAUGAACGCUGGCGGCGUGCCUAAUACAUGCAAGUCGAGCGAACAGACGAGGAGCUUGCUCCUUUGACGUUAGCGGCGGACGGGUGAGUAACACGUAGGUAACCUACCUAUAAGACUGGGAUAACUUCGGGAAACCGGAGCUAAUACCGGAUAAUAUUUCGAACCGCAUGGUUCGAUAGUGAAAGAUGGCUUUGCUAUCACUUAUAGAUGGACCUGCGCCGUAUUAGCUAGUUGGUAAGGUAACGGCUUACCAAGGCAACGAUACGUAGCCGACCUGAGAGGGUGAUCGGCCACACUGGAGCUGAGACACGGUCCAGACUCCUACGGGAGGCAGCAGUAGGGAAUCUUCCGCAAUGGGCGAAAGCCUGACGGAGCAACGCCGCGUGAGUGAUGAAGGUCUUCGGAUCGUAAAACUCUGUUAUUAGGGAAGAACAAACGUGUAAGUAACUGUGCACGUCUUGACGGUACCUAAUCAGAAAGCCACGGCUAACUACGU
rnacentral:rRNA from 1 species